CUAAAAAUAUGUAUAAAUAUUUACUCGUAUUCAGAAACUAUUUCGAUUGAAGAGAAAAUAUUCCAAUAGUCUUUCCAAUCGGCCUUCCCAACUCGUUUAUGGCUACACUUCGCACUUCUCUACUUAGAUGAAUUCCAAUUGAAUCAUAAAGGAUAUCCACAUUCCAUUCAAAGCCCUACUGUGUAUCGCAAACACAGACUGUGCAAAAGCCUCUGGCCCAAGCAAAUAGAUACAAGGAGUGGCAACAACAAGGACAAGGCCAACAAAUAGUCCAGGCCCAGACCAGACCCUAGGAGCCCAGGACUCCAGCACUCCAGGACCAGGCCUAGUCCAGGGCGCAGAGUAAACGAGCUGACAACGAGGAACGGACAAAGCAACCAGCGCGACGCCAGCUGCUAAAACUUUUGCCUAGGUUGGCAGGCCGUCGAGGCCGGCAGGGCCUCCCCCUUCACCCAGGUUCUCCUCUCCCACCAGGCCGAGUCGAUAAGCCGGAGCGCACAGUGGUAUAUACUGCAGAUUAUCUGGGUUAAAUGUUGAAAAUGGCAAACAGUAGGUGGGAUACGAAAAUAGCAUUAAAGAUAUUUUUCACAAAUCACUGACCAACACUUUUCGCCGUUGCAGCGGAAUAGUUGUCGCAACCCACACCUAUCGAUUGAUUUUUAAAAGGUAUUUUGUCUAAUUUUUAUAUUUUUUGGUAUUUUUCUAGCAUUAAAAAUAUUACU